CUGGCCUGGCCUUGUUUAGUCACUGCCAUUUUCACUUCCAAAUUUCCGAGGGUAAAUUGGGAGACAGCGAUGUGGUGAAAUGCUCAUUAUUAGCCAACUCUCCCUGAGCACUUACUCUGCGCCCUGCACUGUGCUAAGUGCCUUAUAUAAGUUACCUUGUGGAAUCCACACACCAACCCUCUGAGAAGAAGGGGAUGCUGGGCAGAUCAGAACAAGUGUCCACCAGAAAGUUCCAUAACUGCAAAAGAUGGAAAUGAGAGUUGAAAGAAUUAAGAGAUGUCACCAAAGCUGGUAAGUUCACAACCACAAAUGUGAGGGCACCCCUGAGUGCCAUGGGGGGUGGUGGUCAGAGAAGGAAGUGGGCAGUGGGCUAAGAAGCUAAGGAGAACUGAGCGACUUACAGUUUCUUCUUCUUUUAAAACUCUUGCUAAGCUACUGACUAAUAUUGAUAGCCAUCUCUUAGCACCAGGGCCAUUUCCUCUUUGUUCUGGAAACCUCAGGAGUCCAAUGGCUUUGAUUAAAUGGUGUGAGGAGGACCCGUGUGAGCAAGGUGCAGUUGUUGGCUCUGGGGUCCCACCUGGCCUUCGCCCGAGGCAUUUCCUGUGUAACACUUGCCUGCAAGUCCCACGUCCGACUUGUAUCUCAGGGGAAAUGGGAAGAAAGAAUGCUCCCUACUCUCCUGUGGCACAUGCUAUGUCUCUGUCUUCUGAAUCAUUGCUCACAGCUUGUCUGCAAGGUAAAGCAGGGGAUGAAGAGUCAAAGCACCAGAAGCACAGCUGUCCUGCCAGCCCCUAAGUCAGCUCCAAGGGUGAGAAAUAGGAUGCAUUUCAGCCCCGAGGAAUGAACUCCUGGGACGUAUGUCUGUCAGGCAGAGUCUGGAGCACUUCCUAGAAAUCUUGACCUGUCGCCGUCAGUGGGGAAGGCUAAUUAAAGGAAAUAAAAGGCUGGUAGCCAGGAGAUUCCAACGUGCUGAGAAAACAAAGGCAGCCAACCUGCGAACUGCGAAGUCAGCUCUCAGCUUUGCCCCUGCCCCGCUCCCUCCACCACCCACCCAAACGCUCGCUCGUUUCUUCACCGGAUUUCCAGAUUUUGCACUACCAACCUACUCUUUGUUUACCCUGAUGGAUCAGCGGAGACAACCUUUGCAUAGGAGGCUAAUGCAGUAACCGAGGCCUCCGAGGCCAGCUCCCUCAACGGCUGGAGCUGUCUCUUCUUCAUCGUGUGUCCGAUGCAGGGCCAGGCAGCUGCCCGUGGUGGUUCAGAGUAAGGACAUGGAAAUGCAAAUGAAAACUACCAGACACGUCUAUUCCUUCAUCAGAAUGACUAACACUAAAAAGACUGACCAUAGCAAGUGUUGGUGAGGAUGUGGAAUGACUAAAACACUCAUACGCUUCUGAUGGGAAUGCAAAAUGAUACAGUACAGCACGUGGGAACACACUUUGGCAGUGUAUUAGAAAGUUAAAUGUGCACUUUACCAUAUGACCCAGCCAUCCACUCCUAGGUCCUUUCAAAAGUGAAAUGAAAACAGAUAUCUACUCAAAGACUUGUACACGAAUGCUCAGAGCAGCAUUAUUCAUGUAAGCCAAAAAGUGGAAGCAACUGAAAUGUCCAUCAAUAGCUGAAUGGAUCAACAAAAUGUGGUCUGUCUAUGCAAUGGAAUUAUAUUUGGCCAUAAAAAAGGAAUGAAGUACUGAUAGAUGUUAUAACGUGUAUGAACCUUGAAAACAUUCUGCCAAGUGAAAGAAGGGAGCGAUGAAAGACCACAUAUUGUAGGACUCCAUUUAGAUGAAAUGUCCAGAAUAGGCAAAUCUAUAGAGACACAAAGUAGAUUCAUGGCUGCCCGGGGCUGGAAGGAGGAAAGAAUGAGGAAUAACCACUAAUGGGUAGGGGCGUUUUUUUUGGGGUGCUGAAAAUGUUCUCAAAUUGAUUGUGGUGAUGCUUGCACAAGUCUGUGAAUAUAUUUUUAAAAAUGCUCAGUUGUAUACUUUAAAAGAGUGAAUUGGAUGGUAUGUGAGUUAUAGCUCAAUAAAGCAGGUACACGCACACGUACAUAGUGGCGAUGAGGACAUGACUCAAGCUUGACGCAAGCAGUCACGCAGCGCGAGGAGUCCCAUAAUUAGGCCUGCAGAUUGAAUCGGGCUGUGGAAUCUUGUUUGGCUGGCAGCGUUUGAAAACAUUAUUUGAUCUCUGUGCCUGUAGGCUGGGCAUGUGCUCUCCAGCCCGCUGUUAGGCACAUGGGAUUUACUCAUUUACACAACCUGCUUGGCUUGACAUGUCCACCCCUGCAGCAAGAUGGGGGACUCCAGGAAGCCCAGGCAGGGACCUGGCCCUGACCUGGAAUGAGCUUCUCUAGAAGCCACUGCACCUCGCUCUUUCACAAGUGUUAGAUCACGAGGUGCCACAGCACUGGCCGAUAGAGCUGCAGCAUUUCUGCACUGGCGGAGAGCGGACACUGGGGUGGGGCCCCACAGUCAGUGUGAGACUCAUCUGAUGUGCCAUUGCACCCUCUUUUGCAUAAAAGCAAUAGUGGGGAACGUUUAUGGAGCGCUUACUAUGUGCCAGCACAUGUGUAAACCUGGUAUGUAUGUGGCGUCUCAUUUAAUCUCCACCACAACCCUAAAGGGGACGUCCCAGUAUUACACCCCUGUGUACCCACUGGUGGUUGUGUCCCUUGCUUAAGGCCACCCAGCUGUAAGUGGUGGGAUGGGGACUGGAACUCCAGUCGGUCAGGCUCCAGACCCGCAGGUGGCCUCGCUGGGGUCACAAUGGCAGAGCCGGAAGGGCCUGAAGUGUCACCUGCUCACAGGACUUGCCCGAGGGUCAGACAGCCAGAAGUGGGCUAUUCAGCCCCGUGACUCUCAGGCCAGUCCCCCUGGCUGCAGAUCAGGAGCACAGAGGAGCAGGGUGUUCACCCCACGACGGCGAGAAGAAGGGGAGAGAAACACCACAGGCAUUUCUGUCCUGAAGAGUUAGAUUUGGAAAAUCACCAGGCAGAAAGGGGACUUUACAUUGAGAGGAUGGGAGGGAAGGAAGGAAGAAGAAAGUCUUUUUGGCUCAAUAUUUAGAAUAUUUAGAUGAGUGGUUUUAUUUCGUGGUUGGUUGGGUGUCUUUCGGGGUCAUUAAUAAUGGAUAAGUCAUAGGUUCAGGUGCCUGUUGGAAGUAGUUCCUGAACUUUCUUAUUGAAGAAAACCCCAGCAGCCAGGCAUUUAGCUCCUGAGAUCCCGGCCCGUCCCAUUCUUCUUUGACCCCGCCUCCCCCCCCCCCCCCCGCAUCUUCCACUCUACCUCCCAUUUGAGCAGACUCAAAACCAAAAUCUCAAUUUUGAAAGCUUUAUCUAUUUAAGAGAUAUUGGGUUGGGCCCACUCUUAGAGAUAGCUACAGAUCAUUUUUCUAUGUACACUUCAUUUUCAUCUUCACGUAAUAAGUCCAAAAAGUCAGUUUGCGUCACUGCCAGGUAGUACUGGUAAGAGUAGCUGGCGUUGUUGAGUGCACAGUCCCUGCCAGCUGCCAUGCUAGCUCUGGGCACGUUAUCAUCAGACUGCUCAAUGUCCUUGCAAGGUUAGCGCUGCUUCCUCCAUUUCACAGGUGAGCAACCUAUGACUUAGGGAGGUCAUGUCACACAAGGGCAAAUAAGUGUGAGCUCUCGAAUUCUCCAGUCUUUGAGAUUGCAUACUUUUUCUUUUUAUCUGUUUUGGCCUUUGCUGAUGGCUGCUGAUAGGGCUUUCUACAGUUGGGCCAACUUUCCCUACCCAGCUCUUCAACAAACAUUCCAGGUGGACUUAUCGCCCUGUGGGUUAUAUGGGAAGUUCUCCUUCAUUUCAUCUGUAUUACAGCCUAAAAAACAGAACAACAGAAAGUUGUAUUCAUAAAAA
ensembl:lncRNA